rnacentral:lncRNA from 9 species
GCCCCGCCCCCAGCACAUGCACAGCUCUUAUCGCCUCCUCCCGUCUGCGCAGAACACCAGUCUCCGAAUCUUUUUCAAAUCACCCUUCCUCAGGCUCCGUAGGCUCCCGCCAUCUCACGCCACCUUGCUGCUGCUUUAUCCUGUAAGUACCCCAAACCCCUUGCCUUGGGGGGAGCUGGGUUUGAGGUUGGUUCUUCUGUCUCCUCGUUUGGCUGUCUUGCAAAUGAACCGUGUCUUUUCUGAGAGCCUCGCGUUUAGUGUUUGGCUUGCUGGGCGGCGGCAAAACAAAGUAAGGGCAGCUCAGCGCUGUGUCACAAAACCUGUGGGCUUCACCUCACUUCAUCUCAUUCCACAGGCGUGGCAUCAUCUCACAUCCUCCCGGGAAGACAGACCACUAUUAUGGGAAGAAAAGAAGCAGCACAUACAGGAAGAAGUGGAAUCAUUCUUUAUAAUCAAGUGA